UACGUAGGGGGCGAGCGUUGUCCGGAGUUACUGGGCGUAAAGGGCGCGCAGGCGGUCUGGUAAGUUUGGAGUGACAGUGCUCGGCUUAACUGAGCAAGGCCUUUGAAAACUGCCAGACUUGAGCACUCAAGAGGGACAUAGAAUUCCGGGUGGAGUGGUGAAAUGCGUAGAUAUCCGGAGGAAUACCAAAGGCGAAGGCAGUGUCCUGGGGAGUGUCUGACGCUCAGGCGCGAAAGCUAGGGGAGCGAAC
rnacentral:rRNA from 1 species